rnacentral:rRNA from 1 species
GAUGAACGCUGGCGGCGUGCCUAAUACAUGCAAGUCGAACGAAAAGACGAUGAGCUUGUUCCUUUGACGUUAGCGGAGGGCGGGUGAGUAACACGUGGAUCACCUACUUAUCUUUCUGGGAUCAUUACGGAACUGCGGAGAUUAUACCGUAUAAUAUCUUGAACCGCAUGGUUCAAUGGUGAAUGACGGCUUUGGUGUCUGGAAUAGCGGGAUCCGGGCUGGAUUAGGUAGUUGGUAAGGUAACGGCUUACCAAGGCGACGAGGCGUAGCCGAGCUGAGAGGCUGAUCGGCCACACGGGAACUGAGACACGGUCCAGACUCCUACGGGAGGCAGCAGUAGGGAAUGUUACGCAAUGGGCGAAAGCCUGACGCAGCAAGGCCGCGUGAGUGAUGAAGGCCUUCGGAUCGUAAAGCCCUGUUAUUGGGUAAGAACAGCUGUGGAAGUAAACAUGGCCGUCUUGACGGUACCUAAUCAAAAAGCACCGGCUAACUACGUG